rnacentral:rRNA from 1 species
ACUCAAAUGAAUUGACGGGGGCCCGCACAAGCGGUGGAGCAUGUGGUUUAAUUCGAUGCAACGCGAAGAACCUUACCAAGGCUUGACAUCUCUUUGACCGGUAUAGAGAUAUACCCUCCCUUCGGGGCAGAGAUGACAGGUGGUGCAUGGUUGUCGUCAGCUCGUGUCGUGAGAUGUUGGGUUAAGUCCCGCAACGAGCGCAACCCUUAUCUUUAGUAGCCAGCAGGUUAAGCUGGGCACUCUAGAGAGACUGCCGUGGAUAACACGGAGGAAGGCGGGGAUGACGUCAAAUCAUCAUGCCCUUUAUGUCUUGGGCUACACACGUGCUACAAUGGCCGUUACAAAGUGAAGCAAACCGGCGACGGCAAGCCAAUCACAAAAAAGCGGCCCCAGUUCGGAUUACAGUCUGCAACCCGACUGUAUGAAGCUGGAAUCGCUAGUAAUCGCGAAUCAGCAUGUCGCGGUGAAUACGUUCCCGGGCCUUGUACACACCGCCCGU